ACUUCACAGGUGGCUGCAGUUGACAUGUGGGCGUGACCCGCACCUGCGUCUCAUCAAGGAACCCUCGUCUCUGGCUUAAAAGGAGUGCACAGACAGCAGGAAGACACCAAAGUGUUACCCCAUCAUGUUUUGUCGUGUUUUGGAUUUACUCACCUGUGUUGGCUCCGUGCUCUGAGGACCAGUCGUCCGAAUCCCCACCGCUCAGAUUUUGCUCUGGCUUCUCAACUCACACUCUCUUGAUGGUACCUGCCAGGCGUGAGAAUCCCCUUCCUGGAUUCACUUGGUUCGUCAGUCACACUGCGGUUCUUCCAGCUGCUCCUCCUGCCUGCCGCCGCAUUGGUGCUGUUCGGGUCCCUCGCCUGCAUUACAUCUGCCAGCCCUCCUGUCACUCUGCCACCACCUUCCUUCAGAGAGUUACGGUCAUUGAUUUCCCUUUUCAUUCAUUCCCCCUGGACAGGUCUCCCCAUCCAAACGUUGUUCCAGCUCUGACGUUCAGACCUCAUUAUCUGUACAUCAUAUUUUUCAAAAUUACAAAAUAUAAAUGCUUGAAAUACUUCUCUCUAUGUUUGAUUAAUGUAUAUCAGUUUCACAUUCUGAAAUGAGUGGAAAAAAUGUAAACCUUUUUCAUUAUAUACUUUUUAUGGGCCAUAGUUGUAUUUCUAAUGGGGCUGUGGAUUUUAAAUUCACACAUUGUCUAUCCAUCCAGCCUUGCAUCCUCACACCUAGAGAGACAAAAUACCUAACUGUAACCUGAGAGAGCACCAGAGUACUUGAAGAUGAAUCAUGCAUGUAUUGGGAGAACAUGCAACCUCCAUGCCAGGAUUUAAACUUGGACCUUCUUGCUGCAAACCAACAGUGCUAUCACAUGCACCACUCUGCAUACCCUGAUGCCAAAUAAAAAGAUUUUUUUUAU